rnacentral:lncRNA from 1 species
GCAGUAUGGCCAAACUGGGCAUCGAAUCAAUCACGAGGUCAACAACCUUGUCGCAGACUUCGCAGUGCUGCUCCUGUACAACUUGGACCUUGAAGUGGAGAUGCCUCAGCUGCUCGCAGCAUACUGUCAUGGUCUGGAAAGAAGACAUCCACAGGAUAAUUUUAGUCCAAGGCUUUUGUGUAACGGUCAGACAGGACUGCUGACUGGACUGCACCUCCACCAGUGACUAAGCGGCAGGAGUAAACAAAGUGUGGAGCCCAACCGGUGUGAUUUGAACACCAACACAAGGAACUUAAUUGUCACAGGAUUAAUAUGAGACCUUUACAAGGUGUCUGAUAAGUUUGGUCAACUUGCCAAAAGUCAAGAUAACCAUAUCAAUAUCACAGGUUCGAGCUCUUCAGAUGGAAGUCUUGAAGUUGAUGACUCACCAGGAUGGGUGUGAUCUCUUCUCGGCUCUUCAGAGCGCCAGGCAGUAAGUCAGGGAAGUAGAUAUUCUCCAGCUUCAGCGUAGUCAGUGUGCGAUAACAACUACUGACUGCCAGGCUGAUGGAGCAGAGCAGCUUUAGUGGCGCUGGGGAUGCUUCAUCUGCAAUGUUUGCAACAGAUACGGCUCGCUUCGAAAUUGUUUAGGCAUAAAUUAGACUGCUGGCAGGCACAUAUCGGCUCUAAUAAAGGCGUCCUUGCACAAUAUUCGGGAGGUGCAGAAGAUCACCUGGUAUAUGCAGGCACAAUGCCAGGCG